GACGAACGCUGGCGGCGUGCUUAAUACAUGCAAGUCAACGAUUUUUAAGAUAGCAAUAUUUUAAAAAUAGUGGCGCACGGGUGAGUAACACGUAGAUAAUCUGCCUUUAGGUCUGACAUAACUCGUCGAAAGACGGGCUAAUAUCAGAUAAAACAAUAACUUGGCAUCAAGUAAUUGUCAAAAGCUUCGGCGCCCAAAAGAUGAGUCUGCGGACCAUUUAGGUAGUUGGUGGACUUAACAGCCCACCAAGCCAACGAUGGAUAGCUGGUCUGAGAGGAUGAUCAGCCACACUGGAACUGAGACACGGUCCAGACUCCUACGGGAGGCAGCAGUAAGGAAUAUUGCUCAAUGGGAGAAAUCCUGAAGCAGCAACG
rnacentral:rRNA from 1 species